rnacentral:ncRNA from 1 species
CCGGUUCCGGUUCACGUCCAGUCCACGUGGCUGGGCGACCCGGCGGCC